GCCUGCCCAGUGACCCUGUUCAACGGCCGCGGUAUCCUAACCGUGCGAAGGUAGCGUAAUCACUUGUUCUUUAAAUGUGGACUAGUAUGAAUGGCAUCACGAAGGUUAUACUGUCUCCUUUUUCUAAUCAGUGAAACUAAUCUCCCCGUGAAGAAGCGAGGAUAAAAAUAUAAGACGAGAAGACCCUAUGGAGCUUUAAACAAAAUAGCACUCGCCACUUGAAUAAAGAAUUUCAGAAUCAUUAUUUACCCCAAGCGACCUGACUAUAUGUUUUUGGUUGGGGUGACCGCGGAGCAUAACACAACCUCCAUGUUGAAAGAAAGUUUUCUAAACUAAGAACCACACCUCUAAGUAUCAAAAAAUUGACAUCCAUUGACCCAAUAAAUUUGAACAACGAACCAAGUUACCCUAGGGAUAACAGCGCAAUCCACUUCAAGAGCCCCUAUCGACAGGUGGGUUUACGACCUCGAUGUUGGAUCAGGGUCUCCCAGUGGUGCAGCCGCUACUAAAGGUUCGUUUGUUCAACGAUUAAAACCCUACGUGAUCUG
rnacentral:rRNA from 1 species